UUGCAUUAAGUGUAGAAACGAAGUCAGACCGCGUCAACAUGCCAUUGCCUGCGACUCGUAUGGCAGCUGGCAACACAGAACCUGUGACACAGCUACCGUGCAGGGGGUAUGUCUGCAAGUUCCUUGCUAAAAAAGAUGAGCACCAUUUACAAACCCAGGCUCAAUACAACAGUUCACGAGGAGGAAUAAUUGUGAUAAAAACAUUAACUAGCAUAGGAGUGGAUAUGACUUCUUGAUAUUGUGUAGCUGGAACACUUUGAAUUAUUAUAUUGUGAAUUUGACUUCUUGGUGUAGAACAGUGAAUGAAUAGUGCGAUAUGUGAUUUUUACUUAAUAACUAUGCAGUUGUGACUGUUCUGAUGUUUUAUUAAUGUUUUAUAAAUAAAGUUAUAACUCUGA
rnacentral:lncRNA from 1 species